GAGGAUCCAACCUACCUCCCACUUUUGCCUCAUCCAUGCCUGCCACCUGUACAAUGGUCCAAGAGGGCUGGCUGUCUCCCUCAUCCUCUGACUACCAAGUGUUGGCUGUCUUCCUGGUCCUCUUCUACCUCAGUCUUGGCUUCUCUCCAAGGUGACCACCAUCCAUUCCAUCUCUUCUUGCAUGCACCAGCCUUUCCUCCUUAGAGAGAAAGAAGACAUCACUCCCCAUGACUUGUCCUCUCUUGUCCAGGCUCACUUCCUCACCCUACCCUGUAACAUGCAACGGAGAACGCCCCCUUUGGAUCAUGGAGACACCAGGAGGAAAAAGAAGUCAUCUCCUGCAGCAACACCAACCCUUGAUUGCUUUUGUAGCUACAAGAGAGUCACUUUCCAAAUCUUCUUGAGUAAAAAGAGGAGAAACCCUCGUCUCUCAACAGAGCCAACCCAAAGCAUAUGCCAAGAGGAAGCAGGAAGGCAUCUCAUAGAAAACAGUGGAGGUGGCAUCUGCCUGUGUGUCCUCUGAAUGCCGAGUAGAGGAAGCGGCUCCUUCAGACACAGGAUUAACCCUUCUAAGCCUAUCAGAGCUGGUAGCAUCAACUCUUACAGGCUGGCAGCUGACCACCAAGGGAUAGAGAAUCUGUUUAGUCAUUCCCCAGCUGCAAGAGCAAGUAUCUUGGAGAAGAAGCCAGAUCCAAACCCUGGUCAGUCAAGCAUCAUCUAAAAUGAGGAAACAGGGAUCACAGACUCCCAGUGCUAAGAACUGACUGGUGUUGCAAGCCUAGCUAGAACAAGAACAAGCAAGAACAGCUACCUCUGGUGUCAGAGAUCUAUAUGCCCUGCUCAGGUACCACCACACUAAACAAGUCUGAUAUCACCCCAACAACCAUCAGACCCAAAUCCCCAGCUUUCCUCCCUUUACUAAAGAAUAUCAACCAUGGAAGAUGAGUCUCCAAAGAGACCCUGUGGUCAAUUUUGCCACCUUGAUUAGUUCAGUUAAUAAUUAUUGAACGAUUACAAACACAGCCCCCAACAAAUACGGCGAAACAGGGAAGGUCUGGGCACUUACAAGCUCAUAGUUUAGUGGAGAAUGACAAACCCUCACAAGUCCCCAGCAAAGGCACAAAAUGAUGUCAGACAAUAAGAGUGUUUUAAGUCAAGUUGGAGUCGAGGUGAAAGAUCAAUGUAUUGGAACAAACUCCUUCAAAGAAGGGACCUGUGAGUUAAGACAUGAAUGGGGGGAGGGGAGGAACCAAAGGGAACUGGGAAGGAGAGUGCCCCCAGGCAGAAGGGUAGCAAGAGCAAAAUGGCCUUCAGAUGAGCCCCGAAUGUGAGCACACAGCUCAAAUGGCUGCAGCCCAGAUGACCACAGCCUUGUGGCAGGAAGUGGACAGGACCAGAAGGGGAUAAGUUCAAUAGCUCCAGAGCAGAACUCCUGCAGGUCAACAUAAGGACUGUGACUUCAUUCCCAACGUGAUGAGAAAGCUAAAGAAAGGAAAGACCACUUAGUGGAAACCAGAUGAUGUGCUGCAUAUUUUAUGUCAACUUGACACAAGCUAGAGUCAUCUGAGAGCAGGGAACCUCAGCUGAGAAAAUGCCUCCAUAAGGUUGGGCUGUAUGCAAGCCUAUGGAGCGUUUUCUUAAUGAGUGAUUGAUGUG